rnacentral:rRNA from 1 species
UACGUAGGGGGCAAGCGUUGUCCGGAUUUAUUGGGCGUAAAGAGCGUGUAGGCGGCCUUACAGGUCAGCUGUGAAAACUCGAGGCUCAACCUCGAGACGUCGGCGGAAACCAUCUGGCUAGAGUCCGGAAGAGGAGAGUGGAAUUCCUGGUGUAGCGGUGAAAUGCGCAGAUAUCAGGAAGAACACCCGUGGCGAAGGCGGCUCUCUGGGACGGUACUGACGCUGAGACGCGAAAGCGUGGGGAGCGAACAGG